UACGGAGGGUGCAAGCGUUGUCCGGAAUCACUGGGCGUAAAGGGCGCGUAGGUGGCCUGGUCAGUUCGUGGUGAAAGCGCGGGGCUCAACUCCGCGUCGGCCAUGAAUACUGCUGGGCUGGAGCACUGUAGAGGCAGGCGGAAUUCCGGGUGUAGCGGUGGAAUGCGUAGAGAUCCGGAAGAACACCGGUGGCGAAGGCGGCCUGCUGGGCAGUGGCUGACACUGAGGCGCGACAGCGUGGGGAGCAAACAGG
rnacentral:rRNA from 1 species